CAGUAGCCACGGUAAAACGAGGGGGGCAAGCGCUGUUCGGAUUUAUUGGGCGUAAAGGGUGCGUAGGCGGUUUGGCAAGUCUUGUGUGAAAUCUAUGGGCUCAACCCAUAGCCUGCACGAGAAACUACCGGGCUUGUGUGAUGGAGAGGUGAGUGGAAUUUCCGGUGUAGCGGUGAAAUGCGUAGAUAUCGGAAGGAACACCUGUGGCGAAGGCAAUCCCCUGGGCCUGCACUGACGCUCAUGCACGAAAGCGUGGGGAGCGAACAGGAUUAGAUACCCGCGUAGUCCAUGUCUCUUAUAC
rnacentral:rRNA from 1 species